rnacentral:lncRNA from 1 species
GCUUGCAUUGACUUUUCUACCAUCCUGGCUUUCCAACCAGCUUGACAGGAUGUUUUAUAUAUGAGGAAAUUUGAAGCCCAGAAGAUUAUCUCACUUGCCAAGGUCACAUGGUUAUAAGGAACUAAGGGACCAAUGUAGGCUUCUAAUUUUAUGGUACUAUUCUGAAGGUUCAGAAUCAUCUUGGAAGGAAUGGAAACAUGGCAGAGGCAGAGAAAAAAGUCAAAAGCUUUUUGCUUCUCCAUAUUGUGGCCCAACUUUCUCUACUUCCACAGAAUCUUCUUCAUCCUGAAAGUUCUUCUUGGACUUCACCCAAUGGAUAUACCCUCUACUCCUACAGCCUCACCUUCUUAUUGGCUGGCUUCUCUAGGAAUCUCCAUUUUAAGGAAGAUGUCGAGGCCAACCAUGUCUUCCUGGUCUCCAGGAUAUAUGCCUGCCUCUCCCAACGUUCUUUACCAUGCCGCCACAUAGAUACUCCUAGCCUCCCUUUCCUUGUCCCCUGCUUCAGCUUCCUUUGCUGUGCCAUCUUCCCCCAGUAGAAUGUCAAGUCCUUGAGGUUUUGAGCUGUCUUACUUUUUGCUUGUAUUUCUAUUUCUAACACUUUGCCUGAUGCCUAGCCCACGGUAAACAUGUUGUCUUGACUUAUUCAGUUGAUUUUAUAAGCCCAAUAUGAGUUAAAAAUUGUGAUGUGGUAGGAGAGAAAUCAAAUGUCUUUGCCUGAGGAGAAAGCAUAGCUUCUAAGAAUAAGAAAGAAAUAGUCUCACUGUUCUUUGCCCUUAUUAUAUCUGGACUAUCAUGUUCGGUUCUUACAGCCGUAUUGUAAGAAGGAUAUUGAUAAACCAGAGAGCUUGCAGAGUAUACUUAGAUUAAAAUGGCAAAGGCUUCUGAAAGCAUACUAUGUCAACUGAAGGAAGGGAGAAUAUUUAGCCUAGAGAGCGAAAGAUUUAAGGAAGGCUGUGUCAGAAAAUCCAAAUAGCUGACGUGUGGGAAAGGGAUUGGAUGUAUUCACUUUGGAUUGAAGUUGUACAAGGGAAAAUUGAUGCUUGUUGUGAGUAAUGAUUUCAUUGCUAACAGAUAUACAAGACGUAGACUACUAGCUCUACGCUACCCUUCUCAUCCUUGUAAGUGAAGCUCUAGGGAAAUUUGCAUGGGCACACUGAGAGCAUCCAUGGGCAUGAUGGGAGUUAAAAGGAUAGUCAAGCCAACAAGCCGAUGGUCCUGAAGGCACUGCUUCUAGGAGGAGAGAAAGCAGAUCAAAAGAUGGGCUGAUUUAAAGAACAUUUUUGGUUGUGGGGUGC